ACCUCCGUCGGCUGGGAUUUAGGUCAUGAACCCAUUUCUCCAAACCUCCAUCACCGUUGAGCACUUGGUCCGGGACUUUGGUUGUGGUUUCUUGUUUCAACGAAAGCACAAGUCACCCUCUCCACCCGGAAUAAAAUCUUGAUAACAGUCACCUAGUGCAAGACCCAUUAUGCUCAAGGCCUAAGCAUAAACUUCGGCGAUGACCCAUAGACGGCAGCCUUCAGACUCAAUACGAAUUCGUGCUUUUUCAGGAAGAAGGGAAGCAAAUUUAUAGAAUCCGACAAUUCAAGCAUCGAAGUUUUCUGGGAUCUCUCCACUGCGAAGUAUGACGCGGGAACUGAACCUGUCGAGGGGUACUUCCAUCUGCUUGUCAUGGUUGAUUCAGAAAUAGGCCUAAAUGUAGGCGACAUAGCUGAAGAAACUGUCGCCAAAGAAAUUCAAAACUACGGCUUCUGCUGCAAGUGUCUCUCUGAUUUCGUCUUUAAUUUGUUUCAUAGGAUUAUAUCGGAUGUUUUUACGUCUAUUGUUAUUUUUUGAUUUUUGAUGACUUAUAA